UAUAACGGUAUAGCACUAAGUACAAUUUUUUAAACAACAUUAUUGAGUUAAAAAAAUGAAAUUCCUCAUAUUAGUUCUCACAAUUUUCAUAUGUGCUGUGGAAAACUCUUUAGGUGCGUCCACGGCAACACGUUGGAUUUUUGAUACAACUCCAGUUAGAGUAGUUACAACAUCUACCAGUAGUGCAAGACCUCCCUCUGGUUGUCUAUUUCGAAAGUGU